rnacentral:rRNA from 2 species
GCUUGCAUAAAUGAUUUUUAGAUUCGGAGCGAGUGGCGAACUGGUGAGUAACACGUGGGUAACCUGCCCCGAAGCGGGGGAUAACAUUUGGAAACAAAUGCUAAUACCGCAUAAUUAGUUGGAACCGCAUGGUUCCAACUUGAAAGAUGGCUCUGCUAUCACUUUGGGAUGGACCCGCGCCGUAUUAGUUAGUUGGUGAGAUAAAAGCCCACCAAGACGAUGAUACGUAGCCGACCUGAGAGGGUAAUCGGCCACAUUGGGACUGAGACACGGCCCAGACUCCUACGGGAGGCAGCAGUAGGGAAUCUUCCACAAUGGACGAAAGUCUGAUGGAGCAACGCCGCGUGAGUGAUGAAGGUUUUCGGAUCGUAAAACUCUGUUGUUAAAGAAGAACAAGUGUUAGAGUAACUGUUAACACUUUGACGGUAUUUAACCAGAAAGCCACGGCUAACUACGUGCCAGCAGCCGCGGUAAUACGUAGGUGGCAAGCGUUGUCCGGAUUUAUUGGGCGUAAAGCGAGCGCAGGCGGUUUUGUAAGUCUGCUGUGAAAGCCCUCAGCUCAACUGAGGAAGUGCAGUGGAAACUACAAAACUUGAGUACAGAAGAGGAAAGUGGAACUCCAUGUGUAGCGGUGAAAUGCGUAGAUAUAUGGAAGAACACCAGUGGCGAAGGCGGCUUUCUGGUCUGUUACUGACGCUGAGGCUCGAAAGCAUGGGUAGCGAACAGGAUUAGAUACCCUGGUAGUCCAUGCCGUAAACGAUGAAUACUAGGUGUUGGAGGGUUUCCGCCCUUCASUGCCGCAGCUAACGCAUUAAGUAUUCCGCCUGGGGAGUACGACCGCAAGGUUGAAACUCAAAGGAAUUGACGGGGGCCCGCACAAGUGGUGGAGCAUGUGGUUUAAUUCGAUGCUACGCGAAGAACCUUACCAGCUCUUGACAUCUUCUGCCAACNCCAAGAGAUUGGGCGUUCCCUUCGGGGACAGAAUGACAGGUGGUGCAUGGUUGUCGUCAGCUCGUGUCGUGAGAUGUUGGGUUAAGUCCCGCAACGAGCGCAACCCUUAUUAUUAGUUGCCAGCAUUUAGUUGGGCACUCUAGUGAGACUGCCGGUGAUAAACCGGAGGAAGGUGGGGACGACGUCAAAUCAUCAUGCCCCUUAUGAGCUGGGCUACACACGUGCUACAAUGGAUGGUACAACGAGUCGCGAAACCGCGAGGUCAAGCUAAUCUCUUAAAGCCAUUCUCAGUUCGGAUUGCAGGCUGCAACUCGCCUGCAUGAAGUUGGAAUCACUAGUAAUCGUGGAUCAGCAUGCCACGGUGAAUACGUUCCCGGGCCUUGUACACACCGCCCGUCACACCAUGAGAGUUUGUAACACCCAAAGACGAUGGGGUAAC